UGUGGCCGUAGCACUGUGCAGCAGGAGCUGGCGUGGGGCCGUGCUUCCGGUGAGUUCCUGCUCGCGGUUUCCAGGAAGUGACGUCGUCUGGUAACCACGGCAACCUCGAGCGUCCCGGCCUCCGCUGGUAACCCGUUGGCGCUGACUGACUAAAGUGAAAACAGUUAUGAAACAUAAACAACAGUGUUCCUGGCUUGAUCAAUAGUGCAUAUUAACUCAUGGGGCUUGUGCCUACUUAUUAUAAGUAGGCACAAGCCCCAUGAGUUAAUAUGCACGGUGCUACGGCCACAUUGGUGUUGGGACACAUAAAGAGAUGAUUUGUUGUAUCAGUCUCAUGGAAUAUUCGUGGAGAAUCUUAUCCCAAUUGUUGGAGAUUUCAUCAUUAUUGAGACCAAAAGUUGGUGUUUUGGGCGAGCACAAUGGCAAGCUGCUGCAGGAAGUCCGGACCAAUCCCCUUCUCAGUCCCCCUCCCCUUCUGUCGCCCAAUCCCCCUCUCCUUCCCAAUCCCCUUCUCAGCCCCCCUCCCCUUUUGUCGCCCAAUCCCCCUCUCCUUCCCAAUCCCCUUCUCAGCCACCCUCCCCUUCUGUCGCCCAAGCCCCCUCUCCUUCCCAAUCCCCUUCUCUGCCCCCCUCCCCUUCUGUCGCCCAAUCCCCUUCUCAGCCCCCCUCCCCUUCUGUCGUCCAAACCCCCUCUCCUUUCCAAUCCCCUUCUCAGCCCCCCUCCCCUUCUGUCACCCAAACCCCCUCUCCUUCCCAAUCCCCUUCUCAGCCCCCCUCCCCUUCUGUCGCCCAAUCCCCCUCUCCUUCCCAAUCCCCUUCUCUGCCCCCCUCCCCCUCUCUUUACCAAUACCCCUCUCUGUCCCCCUCCCCCUCUGUAGGCCAAACCACCACUCCGCCCACCUCCCACCCUCUCUUUCCCAUUCCCUCUCUCUGGCCCUCUCCCCCUCUGUGGCCCAAACACCCUCUCAGCCCCCCUCCCCCUCUCAAUCAGACCCACCCUCUGUAAACAGCUCCCCAAUCCCUCCUCCUUCCCCAAUCCCUCCUCCUUCCCCAAUCCAUCCUCCUUCCCCCAUCCAGCCUCCUUCCCCACCCAGUGAAUGGGCAGCAGAAGCCCCUGCGGAUCUUCAGGGUAGUGCGCAUGUGGCAGAUGAGAAUGGUGCAGUUGGAGAUCCCACAAGCCUGCCUGGCAUCCUUGCAAGCCUAAAGGCUAAUUUGCAGGCCUUGCUGGCUGAUGUUGAUCGGCUGCAAAAAAAAAUUUAAAUGCAAAAUAUUUGUUAUUUGUUCAAAAAAAAAACACAAAAUAAAAA